rnacentral:rRNA from 1 species
CCUACGGGAGGCAGCAGUAGGGAAUUUUCGGCAAUGGGGGGAACCCUGACCGAGCAACGCCGCGUGAACGAAGAAGUUAUUCGUAAUGUAAAGUUCUUUUAACAGGGAAGAAAGAGAAAUUUGACGGUACCUGAAGAAUAAGCUCCGGCUAACUACGUGCCAGUAGCCGCGGUAAUACGUAGGGAGCGAGCGUUAUCCGGAAUUAUUGGGCGUAAAGGGUGCGUAGAUGGCAUAGUAAGGCUUUUGUAAAAAUGCUGGGCUCAACCCAGUAGGGCAAAAGAUACUGCAAAGCUAGAGUAUGACAGAGGCAAGUGGAACGACAUGUGUAGCGGUGAAAUGCGUAGAUAUAUGUAAGAACACCAGUGGCGAAGGCGGCUUGCUGGGUCGAUACUGACAUUGAGGCACGAAAGCGUGGGGAGCAAACAGGAUUAGAUACCCUGGUAGUC